rnacentral:lncRNA from 1 species
CUCAUAUAAGUAAAAAAUCUCAAAUAGCCUUGAUCAUGAGCCAUAUAACUAUCACUAUAAAUGAGAACCAGAAUACCAACAGUAGUGAUUAAUAUUGACAUAAUAGAGGUAAGUGAAUCGAUCAAGUAGCCAAACUCUAAAGAAAGAUCAUUAUUUAUAGUCCAAGACCAUACAUAUUGAUAGGUAGAACUAUUCUCGAUUUGAUGAAUAGAUAAAUCGAUCGAAAAAAUCAUAACUGCGGUUAACAAUAAAAUACUAGGAAAAGCCCACAUACGGCGAAUAUUUUUUGUUGCCGUGGGAAAAAGUAGAAGUCCUACCCCUAUUAAAAUAGGAACUGGAAGAGGGAUGAAAGGUAUGAUCCAUGAAUAAAAUACUAGGAAAAGCCCACAUACGGCGAAUAUUUUUUGUUGCCGUGGGAAAAAGUAGAAGUCCUACCCCUAUUAAAAUAGGAACUGGAAGAGGGAUGAAAGGUAUGAUCCAUGAAGAUGGAUGUGCAUAUUCCAUACAAAAAAAAUAAAUAAAGAAUAAAAAAUAUUUAGAUUCUUGAUGAAUUUUGUUUCUUAUUCGUUUGUUUUAUCUCUUUUGUAAAGGGGUUCGGUUAAUAAAAAAGUGGAUAUAGAAAUGGAAUUGGAUAUUCUUAAUUGUUCUGAAUCUUUGCACAAUGGUCCCAAUAUUGGAAAGUACAAAGUGAAAACCGGCCAAUAAGAAAAUUCCUAGUGAAACAAAAUAUUAUUAAAAGUAAUAUAUUCAUUAGCUAACAACAUUUGUUUAUUUUGAUAGAAAUUAUAAAAAUAAUAUAAAAUAAUAUUUUUUUUAUUCAGAAACAUUAGUUCCUUUUUGAACUAAUUGAUUAUUUUACAUUACAAUAAAAAGAGAUCCAUAAAUAUCUAUUAUCUAUGAAAAAUUUGGAAAAGGUUUAGAAUAUUCAAUGUUUUUACUUUACCUUUGGAUCGAAAAAAAAAGAAAGAGUUAAUUCAGAUAGAUAAGACAUACGGAAUAAUUCGUUUUCAAGGCGAAUAUUUUUUGUUGCCGUGGGAAAAAGUAGAAGUCCUACCCCUAUUAAAAUAGGAACUGGAAGAGGGAUGAAAGGUAUGAUCCAUGAAGAUGGAUGUGUAUAUUCCAUACAAAAAAAAAUAAAUAAAGAAUAAAAAAUAUUUAGAUUCUUGAUGAAUUUUGUUUCUUAUUCGUUUGUUUUAUCUCUUUUGUAAAGGGGUUCGGUUAAUAAAAAAGUGGAUAUAGAAAUAGAAUUGGAUAUUUUUAAUUGUUCUGAAUCUUUGCACAAUGGUCCCAAUAUUGGAAAGUACAAAGUGAAAACCGGCCAAUAAGAAAAUUCCUAGUGAAACAAAAUAUUAUUAAAAGUAAUAUAUUC